rnacentral:rRNA from 1 species
AUGUGCCACGACCCAUGGGACAGAACCCAAUCACAAGAAGAAGCAUGCAAGAACUGGAACACAAUGAGCCCGUCAUCCAGAUAAGUAAUAACCGGCUCCUCCACACUUGCCCAAAUCCGAGCCACCAGACGGGAAACCACAGCAUAAGGAGGUCGAGAGUCAAGAAACUGACCCACCAAAGAAUUAGCCCACAACUUCUCCCCCUCCCUAACAAUAUCAUCAGAGGGGACCGCAACGAGCUCCCCAUCCAUCACCACUGGAGGAAAACACUCAAGCCGAGUCGCCACCCCAGAAGAUGAGCCAAAAAGGCCACGCAAAGAAUCUGGGCCGCAAGGAGACAAACCACUCGAAGAACCAGCCCCAAUAGCCCCCGAACAUGUCCCAACCGACUCCGAAACAGGCCCCAAAUCAUGAACCUGAGAGGAAACCGAAUGAAACAAAGAAGGACCGAGGGAACCGACGCCAAAACAGCCGGAACCGGCCCCGAAGAGCCCGAACCAGCCUGAACUUGCAGGGAACCAUGCUGAACCGGCGCCAAACCUUCUGAACCAGCCGGAACCGGGGGAGAACUGGGCAAAACCGACGCUGAACCAGCCAAAGCCGCCAAAACUGGCGCCAGAACCGCAGAACCAUCCAUAACCGGCAGAGAGUCGGGCAAAACCAGCAUGGAACCAGCCGAACCAGGCAGAACCGAGGGAGAACCGAGCAAAAUUGGUGCAGAACUAGCCAAAACCGGAGGAGAGCCGGGCAAACCAAGCGGAAUCGGCACCUGACCGAGAACAACCGGCGCGGAACCAGUCGAUCCACCCUGAACCGGCAUGGAACCAGUCAAACCAACCUGAACCAGCGCAGAAAAUAUCGAACCAGGCUGAACCGCAACCGAACCGGACAGCACCAGACCAGACCGAACCAACAUUAUCAGACCGGCCCAACCCAACACGCGGCCCAUGCAAACUAGGGUUCACUCCCAACCCACCACCAGCUCCGGCGCCGUCUCCCACCUCCGGCACCGGCGACGGCCGCAGCGGCCUGAUCGAAGCACCACCACGCCCUUUGGAUUUCUUCAUCGCACGCACCACCGAGUGAAGAAACUCACGAUCCAGCCUUCACCGCCCAACAAUCACGGCCAGAAAACGCCGUCACCCUCCAGCCAAACUCUGAAACCAGCCGGCCAGCCAACCCAAAAGACGAUCCAGACCACAACUAUCCACCAACCAAAAGACAAUGCGAAAACCAGAUAAUCGCAGACGAUAAACAAACGAACAACAAUCGCAGGCAUCCGAAACACGUCCACCGACCGCCAAAACCCACCGCUACCAGAAGAAGAAAAAGGAAAACGAAAUCGACAACUCCCACCGCUCCCCACCGAGCAACAACCAAGCGCAAUUGGACCAGAAAAAAGCAAUCCAAAUCGAUUGCAAUCAAUAAUCCUCCCGCGCACAAACAAACGCAACACCCCACCGCUUGCCUAGAUCGAAAACGAACACCAAACGGAAACCAAGCUUGAACGAGGACUCCCACCCAGACGGCCGGAAACCGCCAAGGAGGAGAGAGAACAGAGAAAGUCAAAGCUUGGCAACAAAUCCUCCUAACCAAGUUAAUCCAAUUGUUUAAUUAAAACAAAGCAUUGCGAUGGCCCUGCGAAUGCUAAUGCAAUAUGAUUUCUGCUUAGUGUUCCGAAUGUCAAAGUGAAGAAAUUCAACCAAGCGCGAGUGAACGACGGGAGUAACUAUGACAUUCUUAAGGUAGCCAAAUGCCUCAUCAUCUAAUUAGUGACGCCCAUGAAUGGAUUAAUGAGAUUCCCACUGUCCCUGUUUGCUAUCCAGCGAAACCACAGCCAAAAGAAUGGGCUUAGCACAAUCAACAGGGAAAGAAGACCCUCUUGAGCUUGACUCUAGUCCGACUUUGUGAAAUGACUUGACAGGUGUAUGAUAAGUGGGAGCCGAAAGGUGAAAGUGAAAUACCACUAUUUUUAACGUUAUUUUACUUAUUUCGUGAAUCGGAAGCGGGGCACUACCCUCUUUUUGGACCCAAGGCCGGCCUAUACAGGCGGAAGACAUUGUCAGUGGGGAGUUUGGCUGGGGCGACACAUCUAUUAAAAGAUAACACAUGUGUUAAGAUGAGCUCAACAAGAACAGAAAUCUCGUGUAGAACAAAAAGGUAAAAGCUCGUUUGAUUAUGAUUUCCAGUAUGAAUACGAACUGUGAAAGCGUGGCCUAUCGAUCCUUUAAAGCUUUAGAAUUGUAAGAUAGAGGUAUCAGAAAAGUUACAAUCGGGAUAACUGGCUUGUGGCAGCUAAACGUUCAUAGCGAUGUUGCGCUUUGAUCCUUCGAUGUCGGCUCUUCUUAACAGAAUUCACCAAAUGUUUGAUUGUUAACCCACCAAUAGGGAACGUGAGUUGGGUUUAGACCAUCGUGAGACAUGUUAGUUCUACCGUACUGAUGAUAGUCUCACAAUAGUAAUUAAGCAUAUUACGAUAGGAACCAUUGAUUCACACAAUUGGUCAUUGUGCUUGGUUGAAAAGCCAGUGGUUCGAAGCUACCAUGCGUUGGAUUAUGACUGAAUGCCUCUAAGUCAGAGUCCGAGCUAAAAGCAACGCAUGGGCCCAUCGCUCGACUGCCGACGAACAGUAGACUUCAAGUCUCCCAAAGGCACAUGUCGUUGGUAAAGUCCUUGUGACAGAUGAGUCCCAAGGGCCGCCUUAUAACGUAAUUCCCACCUAGUGGCUAGUAGAAUCCUUUCUAAAAGACUUAAAUAUACAAUAGGGUAUUGUAAGUGGCAGAGUGGCCUUGCUGCCACGAUCCACUGAGAUUCAGCCCUUCAUCGCUUCGAUUCGUCCCUCCCCACACU